CCCCGGUAAACGGCGGCCGUAACUAUAACGGUCCUAAGGUAGCGAAAUUCCUUGUCGGGUAAGUUCCGACCUGCACGAAUGGCGUAAUGAUGGCCAGGCUGUCUCCACCCGAGACUCAGUGAAAUUGAACUCGCUGUGAAGAUGCAGUGUACCCGCGGCAAGACGGAAAGACCCCGUGAACCUUUACUAUAGCUUGACACUGAACAUUGAGCCUUGAUGUGUAGGAUAGGUGGGAGGCUUUGAAGUGUGGACGCCAGUCUGCAUGGAGCCGACCUUGAAAUACCACCCUUUAAUGUUUGAUGUUCUAACGUGGACCCGUAAUCCGGGUUGCGGACAGUGUCUGGUGGGUAGUUUGACUGGGGCGGUCUCCUCCUAAAGAGUAACGGAGGAGCACGAAGGUUGGCUAAUCCUGGUCGGACAUCAGGAGGUUAGUGCAAUGGCAUAAGCCAGCUUGACUGCGAGCGUGACGGCGCGAGCAGGUGCGAAAGCAGGUCAUAGUGAUCCGGUGGUUCUGAAUGGAAGGGCCAUCGCUCAACGGAUAAAAGGUACUCCGGGGAUAACAGGCUGAUACCGCCCAAGAGUUCAUAUCGACGGCGGUGUUUGGCACCUCGAUGUCGGCUCAUCACAUCCUGGGGCUGAAGUAGGUCCCAAGGGUAUGGCUGUUCGCCAUUUAAAGUGGUACGCGAGCUGGGUUUAGAACGUCGUGAGACAGUUCGGUCCCUAUCUGCCGUGGGCGCUGGAGAACUGAGGGGGGCUGCUCCUAGUACGAGAGGACCGGAGUGGACGCAUCACUGGUGUUCGGGUUGUCAUGCCAAUGGCACUGCCCGGUA
rnacentral:rRNA from 1 species